AGUCGAGCGGUAGAAGUAGCUUGCUACUUUUGAGAGCGGCGGACGGGUGAGUAAUGCGUGGGAAUCUACCUGGUAGUGGGGGACAACAGUUGGAAACGACUGCUAAUACCGCAUACGCCCUACGGGGGAAAGCGGGGGAUCUUCGGACCUCGUGCUAUCAGAUGAGCCCGCGUGAGAUUAGCUUGUUGGUGGGGUAAUGGCCUACCAAGGCGACGAUCUCUAGCUGGUCUGAGAGGAUGAUCAGCCACACUGGGACUGAGACACGGUCCAGACUCCUACGGGAGGCAGCAGUGGGGAAUUUUGGACAAUGGGCGAAAGCCUGAUCCAGCAAUACCGCGUGCAGGAAGAAGGCCUUCGGGUUGUAAACUGCUUUUGUACGGAACGAAACGGUCUGGAUUAAUACUCUGGGCUAAUGACGGUACCGUAAGAAUAAGCACCGGCUAACUACGUGCCAGCAGCCGCGGUAAUACGUAGGGUGCAAGCGUUAAUCGGAAUUACUGGGCGUAAAGCGUGCGCAGGCGGUUUUGUAAGACAGGCGUGAAAUCCCCGGGCUCAACCUGGGAAUUGCGCUUGUGACUGCAAGGCUAGAGUACGGUAGAGGGGGGUAGAAUUCCGCGUGUAGCAGUGAAAUGCGUAGAUAUGCGGAGGAACACCGAUGGCGAAGGCAGCCCUCUGGACCUGUACUGACGCUCAUGCACGAAAGCGUGGGGAGCAAACAGGAUUAGAUACCCUGGUAGUCCACGCCCUAAACGAUGUCAACUGGUUGUUGUGAAUUUACUUUCUCAGUAACGAAGCUAACGCGUGAAGUUGACCGCCUGGGGAGUACGGCCGC
rnacentral:rRNA from 1 species